GGGGAAUUUUGGACAAUGGGCGCAAGCCUGAUCCAGCAAUGCCGCGUGCAGGAAGAAGGCCUUCGGGUUGUAAACUGCUUUUGUACGGAACGAAACGGUCCUGGUUAAUACCUGGGGCUAAUGACGGUACCGUAAGAAUAAGCACCGGCUAACUACGUGCCAGCAGCCGCGGUAAUACGUAGGGUGCAAGCGUUAAUCGGAAUUACUGGGCGUAAAGCGUGCGCAGGCGGUUUUGUAAGACAGACGUGAAAUCCCCGGGCUCAACCUGGGAAUGGCGUUUGUGACUGCAAGGCUGGAGUGCGGCAGAGGGGGAUGGAAUUCCGCGUGUAGCAGUGAAAUGCGUAGAUAUGCGGAGGAACACCGAUGGCGAAGGCAAUCCCCUGGGCCUGCACUGACGCUCAUGCACGAAAGCGUGGGGAGCAAAC
rnacentral:rRNA from 1 species